GCCUCCGUAGGUCACGGCAGACCACCUGAAAAUUGUGGAACCUGAAGGUAUACAGAUAUUUCUUCAGGAGGUGUGGGUUCGAUUCCCACCGGAGACA